UACGUAGGGCGCAAGCGUUGUCCGGAAUUAUUGGGCGUAAAGAGCUCGUAGGCGGCUUGUCACGUCGGGUGUGAAAGCCCGGGCUUAACCCCGGGUCUGCAUUCGAUACGGGCUAGCUAGAGUGUGGUAGGGGAGAGUCGGAAUUCCUGGUGUAGCGGUGAAAAUGCGUAGAUAUCGAGAGGGAACACCUGCGGCGAAAGGCGGGUUGCUGGGCUGAUACUGACGCUGGAGGCGCG
rnacentral:rRNA from 1 species